rnacentral:rRNA from 1 species
AUUGAACGCUGGCGGCAUGCCUUACACAUGCAAGUCGAACGGCAGCACGGGUGCUUGCACCUGGUGGCGAGUGGCGAACGGGUGUGUAAUACAUCGGAACAUGUCCUGUAGUGGGGGAUAGCCCGGCGAAAGCCGGAUUAAUACCGCAUACGAUCUACGGAUGAAAGCGGGGGACCUUCGGGCCUCGCGCUAUAGGGUUGGCCGAUGGCUGAUUAGCUAGUUGGUGGGGUAAAGGCCUACCAAGGCGACGAUCAGUAGCUGGUCUGAGAGGACGACCAGCCACACUGGGACUGAGACACGGCCCAGACUCCUACGGGAGGCAGCAGUGGGGAAUUUUGGACAAUGGGCGAAAGCCUGAUCCAGCAAUGCCGCGUGUGUGAAGAAGGCCUUCGGGUUGUAAAGCACUUUUGUCCGGAAAGAAAUCCUUGGCUCUAAUACAGUCGGGGGAUGACGGUACCGGAAGAAUAAGCACCGGCUAACUACGUG